GCAGCCGGACUACAGCUCCCGGCAUGCACCGCGGCCGUACCACAGCGCCCAGCGUGUCCCGCGCUUGCAAGAUGGCGGCGCCCAUGGGCGGCUCGGGCCCGGACAGCGACACCGGCUCGGACUCGGACAGCGGCGGUGAAGCGGCCGCGCGGUUCCGAGAAGCUGCCUGGGACUGCACCGCGCAGGCGGCAGCGGCGGCGCGGGCGGAGCCGCGAGGCGGGGGCUUUAGAAAGGAUCGAUUGCAGCCUAAAGAUAAGCCAAGCCUGAGGCGUGAGGCACUCGGCCGUGAGGAGGGUGACAAUGAGCUCCAGACGACUCCGGAGUUCAGAGCACACGUUGCAAAGAAACUGGGAACCAUGCUAGACAGUCUUGUUUCCCAGAAAUACCCAACUUCAGUGCAGUUUGCACAAACCUGUGUAGGAUCUCACUGGGGUGUUCUGUUUAGUUUCAUCACUGUCUUGAAGGACUCAUCAGGACCAUCACAGACCUUGGUGGCACAGUCUGACUCUGAAGAUGAUGGUUUUCGUCUCUUCUCUUCCUCUGUCCCUGGAGACUGUGGGAAACCAGAGCCUUCCCCUGCAGCAAGGAGAAGGAGGCCAGUUAGCUCCAGUGACACAGACAGUGACCAAGAGUGGCAAAGGUACCAGGAGGCUGCCGUGUCAGCUGCGGAUAUUCUGAAGCAAAGUGCUUUUCCUGCAUUGUCCCAGGGUUCCAGCCAGGAUCAGAGUCAGGGUUCAGUAGAGCCCAAGCAGAAAAAAAAGAAGAAAAAGAAAAUUAGGAGAGAGAACAAUAUUCAAGAGAAAAUAAUGGACCCAGCAGAGUGUGACCAGAUCUGCAAAGAUUUGCCUCGGUUGGUGUCUGUAAAUGGCCAGCAGGAGAGACAUGACAGCAAUCACAGAGAGAACUCUGUGCUGCCAGGAGCUGUGAAGAAGAAAAAGAAGAAGAAAAAAGAAUGAUGAUUUUGCUCUGCAAACAGCAGGUGGUUGUGAUGGGUGAAGGAAACUGAAAGAAAACCUAACAACAAGAGUUGCUGCAGAUGAGGGAAAAUUAAUUGGCAAAGCUUCUGUUCUGAAAGCUCGGUGGCCUGAGAGACUAAUUAAGUGACUUCCUGUGCUGCUGGCAUCCCCGAGGAGGGGAACAUUGUUCUCCUCACACAGCAGUUGUCUGUGCUGCUGCUUGUGCAGGCCCAAUCUAAAAGGAUUAAAUACUGUGCCAGACUUGCAUGGCAGAGGGAUGUGAUCAUAGCUGCAUUCCUCCUGGUCUGUUCCUUCAUAUGAAGCCCUUCUGGAGACAGUAUAUGAUGAAUUGAAUUUGGUUUACAUGGCAACAGGUGGGAGAAGCCUUCAUUUCCCUGAGGUGGGUUCUGAAUUGCUACUUUGGACCAGACCCUGCUCAAGCAGAGGUUCAGAGUGAAGUGCUCAGGAUCAUCCCCCAGCCCUUUCCUCUGGAGCUGCUCCACAACCCAGAGCACAGCCUGGAGCCGGGCUGGGCACAGGGAAGGUAAGACCAUUCAUCCUGGCAGUGUUCCUUUCUGUUGAACUUGGCCUGGUUUGCCUCAUCUUGGUUUAUAUGUGGAAAUGAAAGGGGUGUGGCAGCUUCAUCUCCAGAUUCCCCAGAUAGUGCUGUCCUAAGCAGGGGGAAAGACUGGACCUUUGUCAUGAUAUGUCUUUGUUUUCUUUUUUCCUCCUGGAAAACAUGCUUUUAUCCCUGCCUCCAGGGGAAAUCUGUUGCUUAUCUCAAUUUCUCUCUUUCCUAAUGGAAUUUCACCCCUUGCCCUACAGGUGGAUUGCUGUACCUCUCUCCAUUGGGUUGAUACCUCUCUCCAUUUGCUUUACCUGCAGUAGUAUGAUCCCUUCCCCCAAGGCAGCCUCUUUCUUGCUUUAUGUUCUGGGACUAUGUGGGAGUUUCUCCACACACCUCUACCACCCUACUGAGUAAUUUAUUUCUUAUCGUAGAUGCAAUUUGGUUUUUGUCUGUAUUGAUAUGGGAAGAACGUUUCUAUUCAAACCAUAAAUCUACGGGAGAUCAGUGAGACAUAUGAAAGGACAAAAUGAAAUUAUGUUAAUUCCCCACUAGAGAAACCUUUAUCUGAACUGCUUUUAGCAUGUUUUCUCUGUAGGGAAAAGAUCUAAUCAACACCCAUGUGUGCACCCAGUCCUGAGGGUGUAUCUUCUCUGUUCUACUCAGCUUUGACCAGAGUUUUUCAAACUGAUUUCAGCUUUAGUGGUCCUGUGAAGUCAUAGUUGGUCUCUUGGUGCUGUCAAUUUUUUCUCUUUCCAGCUGCUGGAAAGCCUAAUAGUGGACACUUUUCAUUAUUGUACUUUAUAAAGCAAUGGCUUUAUAAGCAAUAGCUGCAGUUACCACAAAGACUUUCCUGUAUCAGCAGUAGCUGCCCACAAGUCAAUCUCUCUGUUAUAAUUUGGUCUGCAGACCAGGAAUUGUUAAUAAAGCCCAAAGAGGCUUCUGUCUAAAGGGAGAAUUGCCUCCAUCUGGUUUCUGCAUUUUAAACCCUUGUGUAGAUGCUGAAAUAGUUUUGCCAAAUCAACCUUUUACUGGGAAUCCCUGGGCAUGGAGAUUCUUGCCCGCCUUUCUUUUAUCUAUUGCUGGAAGUAAUUUCUGCUAUGGAUUGUUCUGCCCUCCUUUACAAUACUUAUAAUCUGGACAUUACUUUUAGGUAUCUAUUAAUUGAAAGGUUUGGUCUUAAAACCAAAAAAAGUUUAUUAGUAGAUAACAACUUCUUAGGGUAUUGUCAACCUCUGAUACUGAUUCAGAUGCUUUGAAUAGAUUUUUAGACAUUGUUGAUUUGAUUAGAAAUUUGAAACAUGACAAUGCAGGCUUCCUAUUGUUUUAAUUUAACCUGAUUAAUUUUGAUCUAUUAUAGACCUCCAUAAAUAUACUUGUAAUUUUUUUCUGAAACUGAGAUUUCUGGUAUCUUCAUACUGUCCUCAACAGCAGAAGUGAAUUGCUGUAUCUGGUGGUAGGGGAGACUGGUGAUAGAGAUCUCUGAAGUUUCAGAGUAAAGCCUUUGUGAUCAAGAACCAAUAUGAGGCUUAGGAGUUCCCUGUGCUUGCCCAGUCUCCUCUGCGCUGUCUCAGGGGUUUAGGUAGGGCCUAGAAUUUGUCUGUACCUCACUUGCCAUUUGUGAAAUGGAAAUGCUGCUCAGUGGACUGUCUGACCAUCAGAAAGUGUUAAUGUCACAGGUUUGGGAGAGAGGCAAGACUUCUGGUGAGGCUGGUAAGCACAGGGAAGACUGGCAGCAAGAUCCUAGAAAGGCAGGGAGGAUCAGAAAGCAGAAAUGGUGCUGAAGUGAGGUGACAGGAAGGAAUUCCCUCCAUCCGUGUGUCUGUUCUUAGAUCACAGCGGAUGUCACUUCAGUCCUGCUUCACCCACUCCUUAGAGAAAAAGGGACAAAGCCAGGGGGAGUCUUCCUCAGCUUCCAUGGCUUCCUUUCAGAGCGAUUCUUGAUAAACCAUCAAAAGUUAAUGAUCAAAAAGCUUAUCAGGGUCUUUUCAUCUAUAAAUUUAUAAGACAAAAGAGAAAUAAUAAAGCCAUUGGAUAAUUAGUAACUAGCCAGGGCCCGCCCGGUGCCACUGGGCUCAAACUGCCCCAAGACCUGUACGCAGACUCAGGAAGAUGAGAAGGAGACAAGGAUGAGGGGAAGAAAAAGAGUGGGAGGCAGGGAGAAAAUCAGCCAAGGAGACAACAAAAUGGGAGGAAUAACAGCAGAAACAAUAGUGAGGACAGAAGGGAAAUAGGUGAAAAGAAUCUGAAAGAUGUAAAGGAAAUAGAGAAAACUUAAAGAUAAGGAAGAGCUGGAAGUGCAGGAGAAAUGAGACAUACUGGGCCAGGAAGGAGACUGAAUUUCUGGGAAUGUUUCCCCACCCAGGUAAGAGCUGAUCCAGUGAAUUUUCCUCUCUUGGUUUAUGCAGAAUCAUCAACUCCCAAUCUGCCAGGGAGCUUUCUUUUAAGUAUUUACAGUGAAUGCUAACUCUUGUCAUGCUCUUUUCUUAGCUCUGGCCUUUUGUGGUGGGAUUUGAUGUUUGCUUCUGCUGUUAUAUUUUCUGUUGGUUUCCUUUGCAUGUGAAAGAGAGUGAUUAGAAAGCUGGAAAGAGAAAUUCUCUAGCUGGGUUUUUAGUGAAGAUUUUAGGUGCAGGAUGUCUUCUAUCAGCUUGUCAUUUCAAAAUAGCCCCAAAACAGGCCAGAAUCUGUUGUGAUAGAUGCUAGGAUGGGCCUGAUCCUUGCUUUGACAAACCUGUUGGGUCUCCCAUGGGGAUUGCAUCCCAGUGAGAAUCCCAAAUAGGAAACUGAGUGAAUGUUUCUCUGAGCCUAUUGUGAAGCUUAUUUAUUCAGGGACCUUCCCCUGGUUUUUGAUCUCAGAAAUGCUUGUGUGCAAAGCAAAUUUGUGUGGCAGCAAACCCUGUAACUGUUGCUGCACAUGUACUUUGUAACUGUGACGGGCAGUGGAUGGUAGAAGCAGCGUGUUCUAUCCGGGUUUUAACCUCUGCAUGUGUUUGGUGUGUGCUUUUUCUAUAGCAUACCCCAGUGAAAUUAAUAAUAUCAUUCUCCUUAAAUACAGCAGGGAAAUGUUACAACUUCACUGUAUCAUUCAUACAAAUCUAGCACCAGCUCAGGGUGACCAGUUGUUUUUUGGUUUUUUUCUUUCCUGAUGACUGAAAUUGUGAAUUGUAUUAAAAUUUAAGUCCUAAACCCUAACAUCCAGUCAAAGAGAUGAGAGUUAGACAGGCCUUGGACUUUCUGAAGCCUGAUGCUAUAAGCAUGUCAAAUAUGUAAUCAGGCUCCACAGCUUCCUUCAUGCAUUUAAGCGAGAUAAAAGGAAAAUCUGAGCAUUUAUAAAGCAUUUGGGGGUGUUUGGGGGCUGCUAGUCCUGGUUGAAGAUUGUCUCUGUGCAGCUAGAUCAGUUGUGAAUACUAGGGACACUGAGGAGAAGGGGAAAGGAAAAGAGAGUUAGAGUGCAAGAAAGAAGCAAAGAGGAGCAGUAAAUCUGUCCUUACUGUAAUAGUCUUUCCACCACAGCCUUCUGGUGAGCAGCCUCCUCUGGGCUCAAGUUUUCCAGCUCCUUCAUUAUUGGAGGGGUAAAUUCCUCUCCGUCAUCUGAGGUUUCAUCUUCCGAUGCCCUGGACUCCCCCAUUCCGUUGGGGAGGUUGGGGAUGUCGGGACAGGGCUCCCCUUUCUCAGUCUGGAGGGCAUUGAUAGCGCGCUGGCUUUCGCUCUGCAGCCCGUAGGGUUCCGCUUCGCUCAGUGCCUUGAUCAAGGUCUCCUUGGUCAGCCCCGACUCCAGCAGCGCUUGCAGCAGCUCCACUUGGAGAUGAGACAGCUUCGAGACCAUGGUCUUCAGCCUGGUGUCCCUUGGGUUUGGAUUUCGGGUUAUCCUGCUUCCAGCUUCCCUACACCAUGGUCCUGAGGUAACACGCCCGACUGUCAGGAGAGUGGGCACAGCGCAGCCUCCCGCCUUUACACCCCCCAAAAAAAACAAAAUACAAAAUUGAGCCACUUCAGACCCCCCACGACUGUCCUGAGCCAGUGCUGAUAAAGGGACCCUUGGCUAUCUGUUUACAUUGGAGCAAAUGUAAAUUCUCCAAGGUUCAUAUUUAUCUGUGUGCUUUAGCAAGUUACUGAACUUUGGACUUCAGCACUGCCGCAGCAGUUCACAAAGUGCAGAGGGAGAGAAAGCAGGGGGAGGGGGAAAGGGAGGGAAGCAGGGAGAGAAGGAGAAGAAAAUGAAGGGAUAAAAAAUCUGCAGCAUGGAAAAGUGAGUAUGGAAAGAAAACGAGGCAGAUGGGGAUGGAGAAGCAUGGCUUACUCUGGCCCCAUUUGUUUUGGAGAAGGAAGGAGGUAGAGCACCCAAAAGGAAGAGCUGAGCCUGGUUGCCCAUGGCUCAGGACAAGGUGCUGCUGUUGGAAUAUUGCAGAACCUGCUCAGAGCUCUGGCAGUGCUGAAGUAAAGCCAGUGUCAAGCCCUGCCAAGGGCUUUGGGCUGACAGAAAGCCACACUGGCAGCAGCGGGGAGGCAAUCAGUGGCUUUAUGUGAACAUGCCCAAGCCUCACAGGGUGUUCUGAAACUCCAGCUGAUUUCUGUGGCAAAGCAUCAAGACUUAAGUGACUUUUCAAUUCUGGCUUUGACUUGCUGGGUACCUUGAUGUGCAGAUACUAGUAGUACCUCCAUUUUAUCUUGCUGUGUUUAUUGCUCAACUAUGAGCAGGAGCAGUGUUAAUAACUUGGGGGACUACAGGGCUUGACUCUCUGAGCUUGUGAUUCAUGUAUUUGAUAAAGGAUAGCCCUGGGUGCUGGGUCACACUCAGAAUCUCUGCUCUGUCAUCAACUUCCUUACUGCUUCUGAUGAGUGCUCUGGGCAAGCUUGUGGUUCCCCUUUAUCAUCUGACUCCAAUCCCCUCUUGAUACCAGCCCUGCUCUGAGGUUCUGCUCCCACCUGUUGGGUGAUUUCCUAAAACAUGAUCCCUGGCUUGGCUAGAAUCCCUCAAUACACUUCUCCAGUGUAUGCCUAAAUUGUCUUUUCUGGUCUGAAA